CCCAACUAUCCCUAUUAAUCAUUACGUCGAUCCUAGAAACCAACAAAAUAGGGUCAAACGUCCUAUUCCGUUAUUCCAUGCUAAUGUAUUCAAGCGUGAGCCUGCUUUAAACACUCUAAUUUUUUCAAAGUAACAGUCCUGAUUUCCCAUAACACCAAAUUAAUGGCAUUAUAGUUCGUCAGAAGAGAGAAACCGAUUAUACCAGUACGUACAAAAGCACGACCAAUAAACCGGUCUCGAAAUUCAACUACGAGCUUUUUAACUGCAACAACUUUAAUAUACGCUAUUGGAGCUGGAAUUACCGCGGCUGCUGGCACCAGACUUGCCCUCCAA
rnacentral:misc_RNA from 1 species